UGAAACAAGUUUCUCCAUCUCGGCACAGUUAAUGGCACUGGAAGAAUUCACGGGGUAAUUUCUAUACAACCCGUGAUCUCUUAGUGGCAUCUAUGGUGCGGGAUUAAAACAUCAAAAAAGUGA
rnacentral:pre_miRNA from 15 species